UCCUGGACAGUGGGUAGUUCGUUGUCACGCGGGACCAAAUUUUGAAUUUGAAAACAGUGGAUAAAUUUAUUGUUUACUACGAUGAUGAUGAUUAUGAUUGUUAUUUAAUGAAAUAAUUAAACUAUGAUUAAGGAUAGAUGUAAUUGAUAAAAUAACUUUUAUCUGAAGACUGAAUUUUAUUAUAAAGUAUGAAUAAAACUUGAUCAGUAAUAACAGUUGUAUUCGUAAAGAGUUCUCGGAGAGAAGUCAAGUUACAUCAGACGGCAGAGAGAUCUCGGACCUUCACUCUCCAACUUCUCCCCACUACUCUCAUGUUCACACUCAUGCUUAUAUGUAUAUAUUCUUAUAUAUCUAUGUUCUUUACUAAAUAUUAUACUUAUACAUUUAUACUUUCUACUAAUUCAAAUUUGGGAUAUAAGCUUACACAUAUACGUUCUUCACUUUAUCCAUUCUACAACUUCUUAUUACUUAUUCUAUUUAUAUGUACUUAGAUACAAUCUUCCAGUUAAAUAUUCUAGGCUAUCAGAGGUGUAUUUCUCCAUAAUUAUUCUAUAUUUAAUUAUUUAGUACGAUUGACAUUACUAUUUAUUGUGAAACAUUAUUAUAAUCAAUAUAAUGCUAUAUUUCUAUAUUUUCUUUAAUUUAUUUAUUAUACGCGUCACUCUUUAUUUAAUAUUAACAGUAAUAGUUAAAUUCUGGUGAGACAUGGUUUUCAUUAGUAAGUAACAUUUAUUAAUUAUAUAUUUUCUUUUCUUACUUGUUGAUAGAAUAUGUAUUUGUUUAUAACCAUAUUGACGGUUAACUUUAGAACAAGGACCUAUUCAUGAUUUUUAUGCGUAUGUUUUGUUUAGGUUUUAAGUAUCGGAUGAUAGGAAACGUUCCAAGACCACUCAACCUGUAUUUAUAUUUCUCUGAAUACAAAAUAAAGGUUUAUCUAUCUAUUUAUUUAAACUUUCUUAUAAUAAAAAUAUAUAAUUUAAUGAGUAUGUGCCACGACGAUUUAUCAUUUAAAUUAUUGACUCAAUAUUGUUAAGACGCAAUAAGUGUUUUAAGAAAUUAAUAUAUAAUUUCAAAUGGAAUUCAAAUGCGCGCUUCUUAUAUAUCUCAAGUUUACUAAUUAAUUAACAGGUGGAGGCACCUGAGGCUGUUGAGGACAUAACACCUCCCCCGUUAAUGAAAAUUCGACAUAUCGUUCGUCGAAUUUUUCUCUCAUAUAUACACAUGUAUAUAACGAUAUAUAAUAAUAGCUAAAGCUAAUUCUGAAUGAAAUAUAAAUUCUGCAAGACAAUUACCUAUAUAAAUAAUACCAUUACUGGUUGUUAAAUCGUGGUCGCACAUUUACAUUACAAGUUACAAAAAUAAUCAUUUUCAUGAUUUAAAACUAACAGUAAAUAUUAACUCAGGUUACGCACAAUAUUUAUAUUACACAAGAAUACAUAUUUUUUAAGGGUGAGCAGCACUAACCGGAUGUUCGAAUUUAUUUUUCUAAUUACGUUUGGAAUAAUUACGUCACUUAAAUGAUGAAAACCUUCAAAAAAAAAAGUUUAUCUUAAACAUUUUUCGGAAGCUAUAAAAUUUUUGUAAUAAGAAUUGAUCAAUAAAUUCAAAGAAAAGUAAAAUUUAAAAACUCGUUUAGUACGGCCCAGCCUUAUCAUUGAGGUCACGGUGUUUACAUUUUAGCAAGAGUUUAAUCCAGACUAUGAAGUAUUAUACGGAUCAACAAGAUAUAUUAAUUUCAACUUGUUUGUAUGUACGACUUGGUAUGUGGUGGGGUGAAUUAGGCGAGGACGUCCUCUCUGGCAUCUCAUGCAUGGGGGACUCAAACCCCCACACGACAUCCGAGCUCGGUACAACAACUGCUGGGUGGUCCAACCACCCAAGGGACAGGGCUAAUAAACCCCUCUGAAGAGGGCUGCCACUCAUCCAACAACUCGUCUCCCUGGGAAGAGAGUACUGUCCUCAUUCGAGUCUCGCUUUCCGCCUCAACGUCAGGUCGGCGAGUCGUCGGGAAGGCAUCUCUAUCCUUCAGAUAUGUGCACAACGUGCCAAGGGUGGCCAUAAACUUGCUGUUUACGCCACUAUAUUUGGAGGGGGUUGUCCAACAACCCCAAGGAGUCGAUGCCAUAAUUUUUUUUUCACACUCUUUUUUUUUAUCUUAUUCUGUUUUUAUCCAUGCUAAUACUCAACCUACUAUUUCCUAUGAGUUUAUCCUCAAGAAGCGGUUUCCCAAGCUUUGUGUUCUAAAUCAAUAAUAUAUUAAGUAAUUUUAUGUCAAUGGGGUUUCGAGAGAGCGCAUCAACAUUAGCGUUCAAUCGACCUUCCCUAUAAUUGACUUCAUAUUCAUAUUUCCGUACUUCAGCAACCGAUGUAGGAGUUAAGAUAUAGGAAUUUUCAUUCUAUGAGCUCACACCAAUGAUUUAUGAUCUGUGACUUUCAGGAGUUCAGGGGCAGAGUAGUAGGAAGGUAUUUUCUAAUGUCUUCUGGCUGAGAAUUGCACCGAGGCAUAAAAAGAAGUGUUUGUUGUCGUGACGGAAAGUUUUGAAAGUGGGGGAACUGGAGAAUAAAUUAAUAUCAACUUAUAAUUAAUAUCAGAAUCUAUCGUGAAUUAAAAUUUCUCCAAAUUAAGUAGUUCAUCACUAUUAAUAGUUAUACACGGUGAGGUAAUAUGCUUGUUGUUGUGAGUUUUAUGGAAGCGUCAUUUUUGAAUAAGUUUUUGUUUCAUUUGGUCUUCUGUGUGGGCUGUAUUGUCAGUUUGUUGGUCGUUGUAUGCAUUGAAAUUUUGGUUUGAUGUUGUGUUAUUUUCUCUAACCCAAGUUAACCUAUUUUUGCAGAUUUGUGCGAAAUGGCCAGGCUUAGAACAUAUUGAACAAAUUACGUUCAUGGAGUUAUUUCCAUGAAUGUCCAUAAUGAUUGUUCGCAAAUUUAAUAUGAUUUUGGGAACUACUAAUGGAAUAUUGGCUGGAGUAAGGAUUAUUACUACAGUGGGAAUGUAUUUUAAAAAGUGAAUUUCUUUGUUUCAAUUCUUUUUCUAAUUCUACGGCAAGAUCUACUGCUCGCGACAGGGUAAGAGGUUUUUGACUAGCAGCCCACAAUCCUAACUCUCCCCUAAGACCCCGUACAAAGCUAUCUCGAGCUCCUUCUUGGGUACUAGCUAAUAACCCGGUUCGUAUUUCACCCGAAUGCUUAUCCAUAAUUACUUCUGACGUUCCUUGAACGAUUUCGUUGAUUCUAGUAACGUAAUCUACGAUGGUUUCACCAUCCUUUUAAUAAAUAUUCGAAAGUAACGACUGCCAUUGAGAUAGAGUUCUACUCGGCACUAAAGCUCUUUUAAGAUUUCCCAAAAUCCCUUCAAAUGCUAAUCCCGAUUGAUUUGAAAUAUAUUUGCUGGCUUUACCCAAUAUACGAGAUUUUAUCAACUGAGUUAAAUACAAUUUACCAGAUGGAUGUAUUAGAUUUAAGGUUUGAUUACAAAGUUCAAUAAAAUUAUUAACUGGCAUAUUUUCUCCAUUGAAUACGGGUAUAAGGUUUAUAGCGUCUUUGGUACUCAAAAAUUGGGAAUUACUUGUAUGAACUAGAUUAUUGGUAGCAUAAUUGUGCUCAUUAUUUCCGUAGCCCGCGAGUACCGGUUCAAUUAGUACGCGAUUCGAAUUAUGAACUGGAGUAGCUGGAAUGCUAGGGGUUAUAGAAGGAGAGAUGGUGGAAAAAUUGUCAUUAUUAGUGUUCUGAAUGUCAAUAGAACUAAUCACCACUUCAGUGUUCGCGUCCGAAAUGUGUUCGUCUGUAGUCACUAAAUUAGACAUUUUCGCCUCAAAUCAUGUUAAUGCUUCUAUAGUCUUGAUUCUAUUUGAUUACUAUAUUUAAUAUAUUAAGGAAAUACUAUAUCAAAUUACAGUUGAACUUUUAAUUAUAAUUAUUAAGAUUAUGGAAUUGUAAAUAAUACAAAAUAUUAUAAUGUGUACUUAUUUCGACUGGAACUUAUGUCUGAUAGCAAUUUAAAAGUGUUAAAUAUCAAAUAAUCGUCAAAUUUCAUACAUGAAUAGUUAUAGAAUUUCCUUUAAAACAAAAUGCCUUUAGUUUUGAUAUAAAAUAAUACUUCAUAGAAUGACUUACAGGUUGCAGAAUUAAUACAAAUAAAAUACCUUAAAAAAGAAAAUAAUCACUUUUCACUUUUCACUCGCGAAAUUGCCCUUAUUAAAAUCGCACUACAUAAUUUCACUUCACUAAUAUCUUCUGUCAGCAUGAAGUUUCCUCCUAGAUGACCCUUCGCAGUUGAAUUGACCCUCUGGAAUUGGAAGAUCGCCGAUAAACUUACUGGAACGCCGGAACAGAUGCAGAAUAAUACACUCGAUGAUGCUUUUGAAUUUCAAAACGCUGAUGGACCAAUCAGGAUUUUCCAGAACGCUGUUGAAUCUCCAGAUUUGCGUUGAACCCAAUUGGUGUGACUAUCCCACCGCUGUCACCAGUUGUUAUGUCCUGGGAGGUUACUAGGAUCGCAGCUGACGCCACCUCCUGGACAGUGGGCAGUUCGUUGUCACGCGGGACCAAAUUUUGAAUUUGAAAACAGUGGAUAAAUUUAUUGUUUACUACGAUGAUGAUGAUUAUGAUUGUUAUUUAAUGAAAUAAUUAAACUAUGAUUAAGGAUAGAUGUAAUUGAUAAAAUAACUUUUAUCUGAAGACUGAAUUUUAUUAUAAAGUAUGAAUAAAACUUGAUCAGUAAUAACAGUUGUAUUCGUAAAGAGUUCUCGGAGAGAAGUCAAGUUACAUCAGACGGCAGAGAGAUCUCGGACCUUCACUCUCCAACUUCUCCCCACUACUCUCAUGUUCACACUCAUGCUUAUAUGUAUAUAUUCUUAUAUAUCUAUGUUCUUUACUAAAUAUUAUACUUAUACAUUUAUACUUUCUACUAAUUCAAAUUUGGGAUAUAAGCUUACACAUAUACGUUCUUCACUUUAUCCAUUCUACAACUUCUUAUUACUUAUUCUAUUUAUAUGUACUUAGAUACAAUCUUCCAGUUAAAUAUUCUAGGCUAUCAGAGGUGUAUUUCUCCAUAAUUAUUCUAUAUUUAAUUAUUUAGUACGAUUGACAUUACUAUUUAUUGUGAAACAUUAUUAUAAUCAAUAUAAUGCUAUAUUUCUAUAUUUUCUUUAAUUUAUUUAUUAUACGCGUCACUCUUUAUUUAAUAUUAACAGUAAUAGUUAAAUUCUGGUGAGACAUGGUUUUCAUUAGUAAGUAACAUUUAUUAAUUAUAUAUUUUCUUUUCUUACUUGUUGAUAGAAUAUGUAUUUGUUUAUAACCAUAUUGACGGUUAACUUUAGAACAAGGACCUAUUCAUGAUUUUUAUGCGUAUGUUUUGUUUAGGUUUUAAGUAUCGGAUGAUAGGAAACGUUCCAAGACCACUCAACCUGUAUUUAUAUUUCUCUGAAUACAAAAUAAAGGUUUAUCUAUCUAUUUAUUUAAACUUUCUUAUAAUAAAAAUAUAUAAUUUAAUGAGUAUGUGCCACGACGAUUUAUCAUUUAAAUUAUUGACUCAAUAUUGUUAAGACGCAAUAAGUGUUUUAAGAAAUUAAUAUAUAAUUUCAAAUGGAAUUCAAAUGCGCGCUUCUUAUAUAUCUCAAGUUUACUAAUUAAUUAACAGGUGGAGGCACCUGAGGCUGUUGAGGACAUAACAUAGCCACCUUGAUUGGAAGUUCCACGAAGGCUAGAUAGAAGGAGGACGCUCGCUGUAGUAUUGUCACGGCCUGAAAAUUGGAUACAGACAUCAGAGCGCGCUACUGUUGCAAAGGUCCCCAUAGAUUUAAAAUUCAAAUAAAAUCUGUAAUGAUCGAUAUUUAAAAACCAAAUUUAA